AACGUAGGUCCCGAGCGUUAUCCGGAUUUACUGGGCGUAAAGCGCGUGCAGGCGGCCCGGCAAGUCGGGCAUGAAAUCUCUCGGCUCAACCGGGAGAGGCUGUCCGAUACUGCCAGGCUUGAGGACGGAAGAGGCGGGUGGAAUUCCGCAUGUAGUGGUGAAAUGCGUAGAGAUGCGGAGGAACACCAGUGGCGAAAGCGGCCCGCUGGCCCGCUCCUGACGCUCAGACGCGAAAGCUCGGGGAGCGAACGGG
rnacentral:rRNA from 1 species